rnacentral:rRNA from 1 species
AGUGGACGCUGGCGGUAGGCCUAACACAUGCAAGUCGAACGGCAGCACAGUAAGAGCUUGCUCUUACGGGUGGCGAGUGGCGGACGGGUGAGGAAUACAUCGGAAUCUACUUUUUCGUGGGGGAUAACGUAGGGAAACUUACGCUAAUACAGCAUACGACCUACGGGUGAAAGCAGGGGAUCUUCGGACCUUGCGCGAUUGAAUGAGCCGAUGUCGGAUUAGCUAGUUGGCGGGGUAAAGGCCAACCAAGGCGACGAUCCGUAGCUGGUCUGAGAGGAUGAUCAGCCGCACUGGAACGGGGACACGGUCCAGACGCCUACGGGAGGGAGCAGUGGGGAAUAUUGGACAAUGGGCGCAAGCCUGAUCCAGCCAUACCGCGUGGGUGAAGAAGGCCUUCGGGUUGUAAAGCCCUUUUUUUGGGAAAGAAAAGCAGCAGGUUAAUACCCCGCUGUUCUGACGGUACCCAAAGAAUAAGCACCGGCUAACUUCGUG